rnacentral:lncRNA from 1 species
CAUCUAUCGGUUAGAAGCAAGUCACAGGUCUUGCCCACACUCAGUGAGAGGGAUUACAUGAAUGUGUGACCACCAGGAGAUGGUAACAAUUGGGGUCAUGAGGGGAUAUGACUGCUACAAUCUCCCAUCAUCAAAAACAAAAACAGGAAUCUGGCUGCUCCUCCUUGCUGUCUUUUGCUCAUGAAGCUGCCUAAAGGGUGACUCAGCACUAUGCAACUUCCAGGUACCAACUAUGAGAUGCCAAAGUCCAUCCAAAGGAUGGACCCAAGGCUACUGGAUCUUAAGGUUUCAGACAAGUGUGUGAGACUUUGUACAUGAAGUUGGAGAAUGCCUCACUCUCUACCCUGUACAGGGUUGUGAUCCAGAGCUGGAUUUCAGACCCCUGUUUCUACAGGAACUCUAAACAAGCCCAGACACUCGGCUGGGAAGUGAGAGACUCAAAACAACGUGAGAAGUAGAAAGCGGGCAAGUUUGUUGGGGCCAUAUGUAACUUCAUGAAUAUCACUGUUUCAAGGACUAAGUUAUAAGUUUUACCCUUUUCAGAUAAGGAAAACAGAGUGUGAGUGGGGUUAGAAAGAGGAAAAACAGCAAGCCAAGUUGAAUCACUCAUCCUGAGAGGCAUUCAAAUACAGAGUUAUGGAGAAAGCGACUUUCCUCCACAAGGGUAAACCCCUCAACAGCAGCUGGUAAACCUCAGUCCACAGCGCAGAGUGUGAGAAAGGGAAGAUUUCAAACAACUUAAAUACAAAGAAAACACUUUUUUAAAACAUUAGUGAUUCUUUUCCACAUUUCCCUUUAGGCUCUAUUCAUACGGAAAAUAUUCCGCUACACCUCACAGCAAUAUAUCUUAUUUUUUUUAAUAUGCAGCAACCGUCAGCCAACUCAUAGCUGAAGCAGGGACACUGUGCAGCUCUUGGAGCUUGUUCUUAGUAUGUGUUCAGAGGGCUAAUACUCUGUCAAGCAGGGCGGAUGAUAGCCAGAGCAAACAGCCACGGUCCCCACGGUGGAAAAUAACGUUGCCAGAAAAUUCCGCACAUCUGGAAAGAACAGCAAUGAACAGGAACUUGUGCAUUCGUGCUAGGCUCCUACUGGGCCCGCUUCGUUUCAUUUCCUCCAUUUUUAUGACACUUUCCCAUGCUGCUACUCCAGACAUUCCAUCAAACACCUCGCCACGAACAAAUUGAAAGGGAAGGAAAUCUAAAGAAAGUCUGACUGAAUUUCUGAGUGUCUCAUCACUAGAAUGACCAGGAAAACCUGCCAGGAGUGUAGAUUCAGGCCCCUAAUCCCACUUCUCUGCAGUCUCCUCUUGGUCUCUGUGUAUAAGCUCUCCUGCCUUUUUGCACCUCUAAUCCAUUGUCAGACAAACUGGCCUACUUGUGUUUGCCUCUGAGAGCCUGUCCACUUCCUCACGUUAGGAGAAAGAACACAAAGAAUCCUAGCUUUGAUUCAGUUUUCCAUACUUCAGCCAUCAGUCUACCAUCAAGCACAUUUUUUACUGGGCAAAUGAAAAGUCAUUGCUUUCAAUUUUUUUUUUUUUUUUUUAGACUGAAUCUCACCUGUCACCCAGGCUGGAGUGCAGUGGCACAAUCUCGGCUCACUGCAACCUCUGCCUCCCAGGUUCUAGCAAUUCUCCUGCCUCAGCCUCCCAAGUGGCUGGGAUUGCAGGUGCCCACCACCAUGUCCAGCUAAUUUUUUUGUAUUUUGAGUAGAGACGGGGUUUCACCAUGUUGACUAGGCUGGUUUUAAACUCCUGACCUCAAAUGAUCCACCCACCUCAGCCUCCCAAAGUACUAGGAUAAUAGGUGUGAGCCACAGCACCCCGCCAAUAUUUUUGUUUCUAAUAAAACAAGAACUAGUAGUGCACUCCGUCUAGAGCAAGAUAGUGUGGUGGGGACAGGGAGCAAGUAGGUAGGGGAUAAAUAGGUCAAGAACUGAAUUCACAAUUGAGGCUUUAAGCUUGAUAAGAAAUAAAGCAAGUUUGAAUCAUCUGGGUCCCUGGGGAAGCAUUUGUUUAGAAAAAGAUCAAUAGUAAAUAAAAA